UCGGGAAUUUUGGGCAAUGGGCGAAAGCCUGACCCAGCAACGCCGCGUGAAGGAUGAAGUAUUUCGGUAUGUAAACUUCGAAAGAAUAGGAAGAAUAAAUGACGGUACUAUUUAUAAGGUCCGGCUAACUACGUGCCAGCAGCCGCGGUAAUACGUAGGGACCAAGCGUUGUUCGGAUUUACUGGGCGUAAAGCGCGUGUAGGCGGCUCUUCAAGUCAGGCGUGAAAGCCCCAGGCUCAACCUGGGAAAUGCGUUUGAUACUGUCGAGCUAGAGUGUGGAAGGGGCGAUUGGAAUUCCGUGUGUAGCGGUGAAAUGCGUAGAUAUACGGAGGAACACCAGAGGCGAAGGCGGAUCGCUGGGCCAACACUGACGCUGAGACGCGAAAGCUAGGGUAGCAAACGGGAUUAGAUACCCCCGUAGUCCCUGAGCGGGCUGGCAAGGCGCAU
rnacentral:rRNA from 1 species